GUGUGUGUGUGUGUGUGUGUGUGUGUGCGCGCAUAUAUAUAUAUAUAUAUAUAUAUGUGCGCACACACACACACACACACAC
rnacentral:miRNA from 1 species